rnacentral:lncRNA from 1 species
GAAAAGACAGGGAAUGAAAUUACCGGUCACAGUACCAUAGGGGUAUGACUUUGUGUCAUAUUUUCGAAAACACACUUUUGAAAUAUUAAUACCAUGGGGUAUGAGCAUACAGAUAUCUCUAUGGGUGUGAGAUGUAAGCAACGUGAUUCGUAAUAAGCAAGAGAUGGCGUGUCAUACUCGGGCCCUAGAAAACUGAAUACAUAAAUCAUAAAUAUAAUAUAUUCAUUAAGAAAGGGUAAAUUCUAUCUUAUUAAUCAUUGCUAUGCAGUAGAAUUGUAAUAAAUUUAAUUUGUUAAUAGCUGUUACUUUUUAAAAGUUGUUCUUAGGUAUAAAAAAACAUGUUCUACAAAGUUUCAGUACCAUAGAAAAAAAUAUUUGCAUAGGUCCAGAAUCAUGAAUAUUCAUAUUGAUAUUCUUUUUAAUAAUAUGGUUUCUAAACGUAAGAAUUAAAAUACUGAUUUUGAAUAUUUCCACUAUUAAGCAGAUAUUUCGAAAAGUGGAAGCUCUAAAGAUAAAUCUUUAGUUAAGAGACAUGGUUUGAAUAAUUUUAUAAUACAGAAAAUAGAUAUAUCAUUAAUAUCCUUAACAAUAAAAUGCACUGCAUCUUUGUUUAUUUAGAUGCAAAUGACAAUUUAAAGUAAAAAUUUCUCGUUUUUGGAGAAUAAUUGAACCUUCUAAUACUUAAAUUUAACUAAAAUUUCCUAUGUGUCUUGUCAAUAAUCACGUUUGCAGUGUUAUGUGUCAUUUUCAUUCUUAAUUACUUUAAUUAAGUUGACGUAAAUAAUUUUUUUGAAUCAUUAAUGUACCUUUUA